AUGCACUCCUCACAUCCCCCUCUCCUUAUUUUCCACAUACAGUCAAAACCAGCCUCUUCUUCCCAUCCCCUUUCCUACUACCGUAGAGCAAGCCCCAUUAUUUUUGAAACCUCCUUCCUAUUAAGAAGAGCACAGAUCCAGAAAAGUGCACAAAAUGGAAAUGUGAGCCUUUGUGAUCCGUCACAGAGUGCAGACCCAGAGUUGCCUUUUCUGGACCUUUCACAUAAACGGAAGUUUCGGCCUCAGCCCCUUCACUUCGCGCCGUGGUUUUGAGACUCAGCUAUGUUGUGGCACCGAUCAGUGGUUCAGCCUCUUCUCCCGCCGAAGAGUCCUCCAUGCACAGAUCUGCCACGUUCUGUGGGUCUGUUUACCAUCCUAGACGUUUGCGUUGUUUCCACCUUUUGGCUGUUAGGAAUGGUGCUGCCAUGAACAUCCCCGUGCAAGUGUUUGUGUGAACGUUUGUUUUCCUAUCUGCGGAGUGGACGCCUAGACGUGGAAUCCCUGUGUAUGUAGUAAAUGUGUAUUUAACUUUAUAAGAAACUAACAAAGCACUGUGCUAUGUUACGUCCCUACCAGCAACGCGUGAAGGGUCUCAUUUCUCCACAUGCUUGCCAAUGCUUGUUACUAUCAAUCUUUUUCAUUAUAUCCUAUUGAGGAACUUUUUAAAAAACACCCACCGAUGCCUGGGCUUCAGCCCAAACGAAUUAAAUCAGAGUUUUGAGGGGUGCCCGGCUGGCUCAGUCUGUAGGGUGUGCGACUCUGGAUGUCAGGGUCAUGACUUGAACCCCACGUUGGGUGCAGAGGUGACUUAAAAAAAAAAUCAUCAGAGGGGCACCUGGGUGGCUCAGUCAGUUAAGCGUCCGACUCUUGAUCUCAGCUCAGGUCUUGAUCUCAGGGUCGUGAGUUCAAGCCCCACGUUGGGCUCCAUGCUGGGUGUGGAGCCUACUUAAAAAAAAAAAAAAUCAGAGUCUCAGGGUUUGGGACCAGCCAUAGGUAUUCAAAACAUAACAAAGCAAAAGCAAAACCCUCCCUAUUUAAAAAGCUACUAGUGUGCUGAAGGGUUGAGAACCAGUGAUCUCACUUUAGGCCCGAAGUUCCAGCCUCUGGGGCAGUGAGAGGGACCUCAGGCUGACUAGCAGCCUCUCCCACACCAGGAAGCAGAGGCGCUUGCCUCCCAAGAAGGCACAUGAAGUCCCAGAGCAGCCUGGCCUGUUGGAAGAUGAGGUUAAAGGGCCUGGGAGUGGCUUGGGUCAGGGAGCCCUGAUUUCUGCAC
rnacentral:lncRNA from 1 species